AUCUUGACCUCAGAUCAGGCAAGGCUACCCGCUGAAUUUAAGCAUAUUAAUAAGCGGAGGAAAAGAAACUAACAAGGAUUCCCUCAGUAACAGCGAGUGAAGCGGGAACAGCUCAAAUUUGAAAUCUCCGACGCUUGCGUCGGCGAGUUGUAGUUGCGAGAAGCACUUUCUAGGCGGAUCGGUGGUGCCUAAGUUGCUUGGAACAGUGCGUCAUAGAGGGUGACAACCCCGU
rnacentral:rRNA from 1 species